ACUUAGUAGGUGAGUGGAUAAUGUGAUGGCGUUUGAAGCGAAUGGUACUGGGUUCGAGUCCCAGAGUUA
rnacentral:tRNA from 1 species